rnacentral:rRNA from 1 species
AUUGAACGCUGGCGGCAGGCCUAACACAUGCAAGUCGAAUGGUAACAGGAAACAGCUUGCUGUUUCGCUGACGAGUGGCGGACGGGUGAGUAAUGUCUGGGAAACUGCCUGAUGGAGGGGGAUAACUACUGGAAACGGUAGCUAAUACCGCAUAACGUCGCAAGACCAAAGAGGGGGACCUUCGGGCCUCUUGCCAUCAGAUGUGCCCAGAUGGGAUUAGCUAGUAGGUGGGGUAACGGCUCACCUAGGCGACGAUCCCUAGCUGGUCUGAGAGGAUGACCAGCCACACUGGAACUGAGACAGGUCCAGACUCCUACGGGAGGCAGCAGUGGGGAAUAUUGCACAAUGGGCGCAAGCCUGAUGCAGCCAUGCCGCGUGUAUGAAGAAGGCCUUCGGGUUGUAAAGUACUUUCAGCGGGGAGGAAGGGAGUAAAGUUAAUACCUUUGCUCAUUGACGUUACCCGCAGAAGAAGCACCGGCUAACUCCGUG